UGGCUCAAAUGGUAAAGCACCUGUCUGUAAUGCAGGAGACCUGGGUUCAAUCCCUG
rfam:Ovis aries breed Texel chromosome 13, whole genome shotgun sequence.